rnacentral:other from 2 species
CUUGCCCUGCUGUGUACGCGAUGUCAUCUUCAGCGGUUCUGGGCCAACACUCACCAACUGGGUUCCAAUCUCACGAGGCAGACGCGAUAGGCUUCGGCCAAGGCGAAUGUUUCGGGCAGGGGCCCGACCUGCUUCUGCAGGUUCAGAACUUUAUGGCACACGGCACGAGCGGGGUUUUU